UACGAAGGGGGCUAGCGUUGCUCGGAAUCACUGGGCGUAAAGGGUGCGUAGCGGGUCUUUAAGUCAGGGGUGAAAUCCUGGAGCUCAACUCCAGAACUGCCUUUGAUACUGAGGAUCUCGAGUCCGGGAGAGGUGAGUGGAACUGCGAGUGUAGAGGUGAAAUUCGUAGAUAUUCGCAAGAACACCAGUGGCGAAGGCGGCUCACUGGCCCGGUACUGACGCUGAGGUGCGAAAGCGUGGGGAGCAAACAGGG
rnacentral:rRNA from 1 species